UACGAACCGUCCAAACGUUAUUCGGAUUUAUUGGGCUUAAAGGGUAUGUAGGCGGCCCUUCAAGUCGGGUGUGAAAGCCCUCGGCUCAACCGAGGAAUUGCGCCCGAUACUGUGGGGCUUGAGGGAGACAGAGGUAAGCGGAACUGAUGGUGGAGCGGUGAAAUGCGUUGAUAUCAUCAGGAACACCAGUGGCGAAAGCGGCUUACUGGGUCUCUUCUGACGCUGAGAUACGAAAGCUAGGGGGGCGAACGGG
rnacentral:rRNA from 1 species